rnacentral:lncRNA from 1 species
CUUACCAUUUGCCUGCUGCUGUUUUAAAAAUAUUUUGUUUAUUAUUGUAUUUAUUUGAGUGUUUUGUAUUUUUUAUAGUUGCAUUUAGUGUGCCAAAAAAUAUGCAAACUUGAUGUUCGUGACGUCACAUACAAUAUGAAAACUUGACGUUCGUGACGUUACAUACCAAACAAUGACGUCAUUAAAAAAAUGACCUAUUUUGAGGAAAUUUUUUUCUUAAGCAAAAAAAAAAAAAAAACUUUAAAAAAAAAAAAAAAAAAAAAAACUAUGCGAUACGGGUUUUACCAUGCGAUACGGGGUAUGCGAUACAGGGU